rnacentral:rRNA from 1 species
AUUGAACGCUGGCGGCAUGCCUUACACAUGCAAGUCGAACGGUAACAGGUCUUCGGAUGCUGACGAGUGGCGAACGGGUGAGUAAUACAUCGGAACGUGCCUAGUAGUGGGGGAUAACUACUCGAAAGAGUGGCUAAUACCGCAUGAGAUCUACGGAUGAAAGCAGGGGAUCGCAAGACCUUGUGCUACUAGAGCGGCCGAUGGCAGAUUAGGUAGUUGGUGGGAUAAAAGCUUACCAAGCCGACGAUCUGUAGCUGGUCUGAGAGGACGAUCCGCCACCCUGGGACUGGGACACGGUCCGGACUCCUACGGGAGGCAGCAGUGGGGAAUUUUGGACAAUGGGCGCAAGCCUGAUCCAGCAAUGCCGCGUGCAGGAUGAAGGCCUUCGGGUUGUAAACUGCUUUUGUACGGAACGAAAAGCCCUGGGUUAAUACCCUGGGGUCAUGACGGUACCGUAAGAAUAAGCACCGGCUAACUACGUGCCAGCCGCCGCGGUAAAAC